UACGUAGGGGUCGAGCGUUGUCCGGAGUUACUGGGCGUAAAGCGCGCGCAGGCGGUUGGCAGAGCCCGGCGUGAAAGCCCCCAGCUCAACUGGGGGAGGCCGUCGGAGACCUGUCGACUUGAGGCCGGUAGGGGAGAGCGGAAUUCCUGGUGUAGCGGUGAAAUGCGCAGAUAUCAGGAGGAACACCAGUGGCGAAGGCGGAGUCCCUGGACGACUCUGACACUGAGGCACGAAAGCUAGGGGAGCAAACAGG
rnacentral:rRNA from 1 species